UUUAUAGAGAUCAUGUUGUUUUUAAAACUGAUAGAUGAAAUGGAAGGUUAGGAUUGUUGGAACUGAUCAGUAGCACGAACACUUGCAAAUUAAGUUUCAAUUAGUAUUCCAAUAUAUUUUUAUUUUGUUUAGAUUUAGAUAAUAUGGACUAUGAGGUACACACUUAAUUAUUAGAAGUUGAAUUAGGCUGCCAAAAACUUUUGGGUACAUACUGUUUGUUACCUGACGGAAUCAAGUUUAUAUAGAAAAUUAACUAGGUAAUUAAUUUUCAACGUUCGAUAUGUAUAUAAAGUUUGUUUAGGUUUGUAAUAAUAUCAACUGUGAGGUUAAUUGAAGAUUAGGAGCUGAAUUAGGCUGCCUAAAAUUUACACUUACAGACUAUUUGUUGCCGGUCUGCCGCUGCAGAACAGACCAGUUCUGUAGCAGGUUCGCCGGUGUCUGCUGUGCCGACCAGGCCCUCCACAGACUCUCCAGCCGGCCUACAGCUUUGUGUAGAUCUCUCCGUGUAUCCUCUCCAGCAACUUCCAGGUACAAGCUCGUCUCCUCCACGACCAACUACUCGUUAACGUCACAUGGUCCUCUGUCCUAGGCAACCAAAGACAUCACUGUCCACAACAACUACCGCCUCUGCUGCUUCCAUCAAUCGGGCAAUAUCUCCUCCUACUCAUGAACUGAUUUUUUUUAAUGAUGUUAAUAGGUAUGAGGUGUGGCAUAGUGCUAUAUGCGAGGAAAUUCAGGCCUCACGUGCUAAUAAAACUUGGACCUUGGUGUCGUUUCACCCUUUGAUGAAUGUUGUUGGUAAUCGGUGGGUGUACAAGAUUAAACACAGAGUUGAUAGCAGCAUAGAGAGGUACAAGGCGCGCCUAGUUGCUAAAGGUUUCACUCAGCAAGAAGGUAUUGAUUACUUUGAAACCUUUAGUCUUGUUAUCAAGUAGGCGACCGUCAUAUUAGUCUUCUUCAUUGCGGUUUCGUGUGAUUGGCAAAUUCAUCAGCUUGAUAUCCAUAAUGCUUUUCUCAAUAGCGUUCUUGAUGAAGAAGUCUACAUGAAACAACCUACAGGUUUUGUUGAUUCUGCUCUCCACUCUCAUGUAUGUAGAUUGCAUUAGUCUCGAUAUGGUUUAAAACAGGCUCUAUGGGCUUGGUACACUCGUCUGAAUGAUUUUUUGCUAUCAAUUGGUUUUCGUGUCUCUAAGGUGGAUACCUCAUUAUUUAUCUUC